rnacentral:rRNA from 1 species
UACGGAGGGUGCGAGCGUUAAUCGGAAUAACUGGGCGUAAAGGGCACGCAGGCGGGCUUUUAAGUGGGAUGUGAAAUCCCCGGGCUUAACCUGGGAAUAGCAUUUGAGACUGGGAGACUAGAGUGAUGUAGGGAGGGGUAGAAUUCCAGGUGUAGCGGUGAAAUGCGUAGAGAUGUGGAGGAAUACCGAAGGCGAAGGCAGCCCCCUGGGCAAGGACUGACGCUCAGGUGCGAAAGCGUGGGGAGCAAACAGG